GGGCCGCCAGCAGCGGAGCAUGCGCACUUAACCGCUAAGCCACGGGGCUGGCCCUAAACUAUAGUUUAAAUGUGUGGUCAACACUGCUGGUUAUUUAUGCCCUGUCAUCCAUUUUCCCCCUUCUUCUUAUAGUACCAGGCACAAGGUCUUCUAGAUUAAAGAAGAUUCGCAGUCUCGCUUCCAGCUGGUGUGUUCGUGUACUGGAAAAUGGCAUGUGAGCAGAUAUAAUCUCUGCCAUCUGUAUGUAUCCUUCCAGCCCAGUUUUAAAAGUUGCAGUAAACUUGAUUACAAUUAAAGAAGAGUAUGAUAACUAAUUGUAUGUGUCAGUUUGGCUGGACCAUGGUACCUAGAUAUGUGGUCAAGCAUUAUUCUAAAUGUUUCUGUGAGGGUGUUUUUCGAUAAGAUUAACAAUUAAAUUAGUGAACUUUAAGAAAAGCAGAUUGCCCUCCAUAGUGUGGAUGGGCCUCAUCCAAUCACUUUAAGGCCUGAAUAGAAUAAAAGACUGAUCUCCCCUGAGUAAGAGGGAAUUCUGCAGCAGAAGGCCUUUGGACUUCAACUGCAGCAUUGGCUCUGCCCUGGGUUUCCAGCCUGACUGCCAACCCUGUGGAAUUUUAACUUGCCAGCCUCCAUAGUCAGGUAAAAAAUGAAUAUUCUCCAAACUUCAAGUGGAGGUCCAGUCAAGGUGGGACACACCAAGAAAAUCUUUUCUUAAACUUUUGGGUCCUGCAUAUUGAUGCCUAUCCUCACCUUCUGUCUCACGGGAAAGAUGACUAAGAUAAAUGCCUCUCCUAUGCUUUAGAGCCCAUCCAAUCCCAUUUCUUCAAGGAUAUUGUUUCACAAAUUAAUCAUUUCUUUCUUCAUAGCUUCAUUUUAUCACUCUUCACUAUAUUUCCUUCUUUUCAGAAAAUGAAUGUAUAUACUUGAUUUCUCCUAUCUUGAAAACACCGUACCUUAGUUCUGUGUACCUCAAUCACAUUCACUCCUUUAAUUCACAGCCAAGCUUCUUGUAAGGGCUGUAUAGGCUUGCUCUCUCCACUUCUUUAUUCAGUAAUUCAGAAAUAUUUCUAAGCCAACACUUAGAGCUUGGGUUUUGCAUACAUUAUCAAAUUUAAUUCUUAACUGUCUGACAAAAUAUAUGUAGAUACCCCUUAUUCCCAAUUUACAGAUGAGGGAACUGAGAUUGAGAGGGGCUAGAGGCCUUCCUUGCUGAAGGUAACCUAAAUCCAAAGCCUGUCCACUAGAAUAUAGAUGUUGUCAUUCUCCCCUAAAAUUGUUAAUUGGUGUUCAUUGAUUGAGUGCUUACUCUGUUACUAUGUAUCAAGUACUGGUAAAGCUCUCUACCCAGGUUUUGUUUAGUUCUCAUGACAUCUCCGUGAAGUGGAUGCUCCCAUUCAUUCCUCAAUAUCUAUGGAUCUUCCAAAUUCAAAUGAAAUGUUUUUUCUUAAAUUGUGAAUAAUCUGUUGAAUGCCAGAUCAGGUGAAUACUUAUUUUUCCUUUUUAUUUGUUUCUCUGUGGCAUUUAAUAUUUUUGAAUAUUCUUUGUAGAGGAAGAUGUCUUCAUUAACGUCAAAGUGAAAAAAACUUGGCUUACAGAAUUUGUAAUAGGAAAAUUAGAAAAUACUAAUAAAAGGAGGAAAAAAUCAACAGUAUCCUACCAUUCAAAGAUGAUUACCAUUUCACUGUAUAUAGUUUAAGAAUUUUUUCUAAUACACAUUAGUAUAUAUAUAUUUACAUGCAAAGUCUAGGGAAGUUUCGUAACCUGUUCUUUUCACUGGUGAAGGUUGCUAUCUUUAUACGUUAAUAAAUACUCUUUUACAAAAUAAUUUUUAAUGAUUACAUAGUAUGGCUGUGUCAUCAUUUAUUUAAUCAAUACUCUAUUGUUGGAUGUUGAGGUUGUUUUUGAAUUGUUCUUUGGCUGCUAAAAAAAAGUGCUGUGAUUUUCCUUAGGAUAAUUUGCCAAAAGUGUAAUUACAAAUCAAAAUAUACACACAUUUUUUUUUUGUGAGGAGGGCCAGCCCUGAGCUAACAUCCAGUGCCAAUCCUCCUCUUUUUUGC